rnacentral:rRNA from 1 species
GAUGAACGCUAGCUACAGGCUUAACACAUGCAAGUCGAGGGGUAACGAGAGGGAAGCUCGCUUUCCUUGUCGACGACCGGCGCACGGGUGAGUAACGCGUAUCCAACCUGCCCCCAACUAGGGAAUAACCUUGCGAAAGUAAGACUAAUACCCUAUAAUUUCCUCAGAUGUCAUCUGACGAGGAAUAAAGAUUUAUCGGUUGUGGAUGGGGAUGCGUCUGAUUAGCUUGUUGGCGGGGUAACGGCCCACCAAGGCAACGAUCAGUAGGGGUUCUGAGAGGAAGGUCCCCCACAUUGGAACUGAGACACGGUCCAAACUCCUACGGGAGGCAGCAGUGAGGAAUAUUGGUCAAUGGGCGGAAGCCUGAACCAGCCAAGUAGCGUGCAGGAUGACGGCCCUAUGGGUUGUAAACUGCUUUUAUACAGGAAUAAAGUUAGCCACGUGUGGUUAUUUGUAGGUACUGUAUGAAUAAGGACCGGCUAAUUUCGUGCCAGCAGCCGCCGUAAGAC